UCGGCCGCCUGGGCCGGGGCUUCGAUUCCUUAUGUUUCAGGCCUCCUCCGGGUUCCUGCACUGCGGACUAUGUUAAUCGUGGGAACGGUAUCAACAACCCAGACUAGGAGGAGCACCACCGCCGUGAUCCGUUUGCUGGCAGAGCCUGAAGUGGGGCUCGAACCUGCCAGCCGUGAGAUCAUGACCUGAGCCGAAACCAAGCCGCUCCACUGACCGGGCCACUGAGGAAACCAACCUAGACCAACAGUGUGACUACAGCUUUGGACCUUGGGCCGUGGGGUGGAAGGGUCGCGGGGGCUUGUCCUGCGGCACUGAGCACAGUUUACUGAGCAGCCAGAUUAAACUUCCCAAGGGCAUACCUUGAAGUUUCCAAGAUACUCGAGUCUCA